AAUAAAAAUAAUUUUAAUUUAAAAUAUUGUUAAAGUAUAAUUUUAGAAUAAAUAGUAAAAUUUAUAGUAAAUUAGUAUUGUAAAAGAAUUUUGAAAUAUUUGAAAAUGAAAUUAUUUAAAAGUAAAUUUUAUUUAUUGUAUCUUGUGUAUCAGAGUUUAUUAAGAAAAUUUUUUUGGGGGAAAAAAUUCUCGAAUUUAAAUGAGAUAAUUAUUUAUAAGAGUUAUUGUUGCAUAAAUAUUUUAAAUAAAUAAUUGGAAAUGAGAUGUUAAUCGUUUUUAAAUAUAUCUAGUUUUUUUAGAAAAAAAUUUAAUUUUAAAUUUAAUUUUUUAAAUAAUAAAUUAAUUUAUUAUUUAAAAUUUAAUUUUAAUAAUUUAAGGGAUAAGCUUUAAAUUAAAAUUUUAUAAUUAAUUUAUUAAUAUUAUUGAAAUUUUUAAUAUUUAUAUUGUAUAUAAAUUAUAAUUUAUUAUAAAUAAUUUCGUUAAAAAUAAAAUUAAAUAAUAUAAAUUUAAAUUUUUAUAAAAAUAAAAUUUUUAAUAUUAAAAAAUUAGAAAUAAUGAUAAAAUUAGUAUAUUUAUUUAAAAUUAGUUUUAAUUAAUUAAAAUUAAUAAAAAGGAAUUCGGCAAAUAAUUAUGUUCACUUGUUUAUCAAAAACAUGUCUUUUUGAAAUUAAUUUAAAGUCUAAUCUGCCCACUGAUAUUAUAUUAAAGGGCUGCAGUAUUUUGACUGUACAAAGGUAGCAUAAUCAUUAGUCUCUUAAUUGGUGACUUGUAUGAAAGAUUGGAUGAAAUAUAAGCUGUCUCUUUAUUAAUAAUAGAAUUUAAUUUUUUUAUUAAAAAGUAAAAAUAAAUUUAAAAGACGAGAAGACCCUAUAGAGUUUUAUAAAAUAAUUAUUUAAUAUUAUAUAUUAAUUUUAUAUUGAUAAUAAUUAUUUUAUUUUGUUGGGGUGAUAAAAAAAUAUAAUUAACUUUUUUUAUAUAUUAACAUAAAUAAGUGAUUAAUUGAUCCAAAAUUUUUGAUUAUAAGAAUAAAUUACCUUAGGGAUAACAGCGUAAUUUUUUUUUUUAGUACAAAUAAGAAAAAGAGUUUGCGACCUCGAUGUUGGAUUAAGAUAAAAUUUAAAUGCAAAAGUUUAAAAUUUUGAUCUGUUCGAUCAUUAAAAUCUUACAUGAUCUGAGUUCAAACCGGUGUGAGCCAGGUUGGUUUCUAUCUUUAAAAAAAUAAAAUAUUUUAGUACGAAAGGAUCAAAUAUUUAAAUUAAAUUUAAUUUUAUGAAUU
rnacentral:rRNA from 1 species